rnacentral:lncRNA from 1 species
CUAUUUCAUGUUCAAGUUGACAAAUGAGCUUUUGUAAGCUCGAUUAAGACUCGAAAUUAAUUGUUUAACAUGAUUUGAAUGUGUUUGGCACUUAAUUGCAUUUGUAAAUUAUUAUUUACGAUGUAUUUGACUGUGUUUGCUUUGACAAUAAAUGUAGCAUUCUGUAGCUCGGACUCGAUGAUUGGGUCGAGCGAUGGGUGUUAUAGGAGCCCCAGUUAGUGAAUGAUUUUAUUCAAUAAUCGUCUGGAUCACCUAUUAGCUUAAUCCUAAUCUACCCUUACACAAAUAAGUAAUUGUAACUCCAACACCGGCCCCAAUUGUUACAAAUCACUCACCCCAAAAAUACCUCACAAUACAAUCAAUAAAACUCUCCAAGAAAAACCUAAAAAGAGUGCCACUCGAAAU